UAGGGAAUCUUCGGCAAUGGACGAAAGUCUGACCGAGCAACGCCGCGUGAGUGAAGAAGGUUUUCGGAUCGUAAAACUCUGUUGUUUGAGAAGAACAAGGACGUUAGUAACUGAACGUCCCCUGACGGUAUCUAACCAGAAAGCGACGGCUAACUACGUGUCAGCAGCCGCGGUAAUACGUAGGUGGCAAGCGUUGUACGGAUUUAGUGGGCGUAAAGCGAGCGCAGGCGGUUUCUUAAGUCUGAUGUGAAAGCCGCCGGCUCAACCGGGGAGGGUUAUGGGAAACUGGGGGACUUGGGUGCAGAAGAGGAUAGUGGAAUUCCAGGAGUAGCGGUGAAAUGCGUAGAUAUAUGGAGGAACACCAGUAGCGAAGGCGGCUCUCUGGUCUGUAACUGACGCUGAGGCAAGAAAGGGUGGGGAGCAAACAGG
rnacentral:rRNA from 1 species